AGUUUGAUCCUGGCUCAGAUUGAACGCUGGCGGCAUGCCUUACACAUGCAAGUCGAACGGUAACAGGUCUUCGGAUGCUGACGAGUGGCGAACGGGUGAGUAAUACAUCGGAACGUGCCCGAUCGUGGGGGAUAACGGAGCGAAAGCUUUGCUAAUACCGCAUACGAUCUACGGAUGAAAGCAGGGGACCGCAAGGCCUUGCGCGGACGGAGCGGCCGAUGGCAGAUUAGGUAGUUGGUGGGAUAAAAGCUUACCAAGCCGACGAUCUGUAGCUGGUCUGAGAGGACGACCAGCCACACUGGGACUGAGACACGGCCCAGACUCCUACGGGAGGCAGCAGUGGGGAAUAUUGGACAAUGGGCGAAAGCCUGAUCCAGCAAUGCCGCGUGAGUGAUGAAGGCCUUAGGGUUGUAAAGCUCUUUCACCGGUGAAGAUAAUGACGGUAACCGGAGAAGAAGCCCCGGCUAACUUCGUGCCAGCAGCCGCGGUAA
rnacentral:rRNA from 1 species